AACAGGAGCGAAUCGUUCGUCGUGAACAGGUGACUCUCCCGGCACGAUACACACGGCGUACAUACGUAUUAUAGUUUUUAAACGCUAAGAAACAAAAUCUCCUUAGUCAAUAAACAACGACAGCAGCAGCGACAGCAGGCCGGCCGAUGACAUUCGUGUAGUCUAACGACGAAUCAGAACGCGACGUGCGUGAAUUUUUCCGGGUGAGUCGGAAUGUUCGUGCGGACACGUGUAGCUUAUUUUUCAAUUUAUACGGGACGUCGGCGACCCCAGCAGAAGGUAUGGUUUUUGCGAAAUCAAUCACACGUUAUUUGCUACCACACGUCUCUCCAGUUUGUAGGGGAUGUCCAACGGAAAAGGAAAGAGAAAAGAGAUAGGGAAAGGGAGGGUGAGAAACGAAACGAGAAGGACAAGAGAGGGAGUGGGAGGAUAUAGGAAUCGAACAGGGAAGAUCUGCUCGUAUCAGCGUCGAACACUCAGCAGAUAGUCGCUGGAAAAAGCUGAAAAUUUAUCGAAAGAAUUCUUUUCAAUCCUCACAUGGUUAGGAAUGCGUAAUCUAAGGAUCCACUUAUAACAGGAAAUAAAUCUGUACGGUUUAAAAUUUAUCACACUCUUAUUAUCACGCCGUUGUUAACAUUCUAUAAUUCUUUAAAUCAUCGGACGCAUAAAUGGUUAACAGACAUAAAUAGUUCAGAAAAUUUCCGAUAUCCUUGCUUAUAAAAUUGUAUCUCAAUAAAUUCUUUGAAUCUUCCGUUAGUCAAAUCUUGCUUCGUAAUACAACAGACUUCUUAUUAAAUUUUGAACCAAUCAGAAUCGUAGGAGUAAUAUUCUUAAGAAGCAAUAGGAAGCAUAUUCUCGACUUUCUCUUUCUUAAGUGGCAUAUUAAGUACGAGCAAAGGGGAGAAAAUUAGAAAGAAUCGGUUGGAAAGACCUGGAAAGUCGGUUUUUGUCACUCUGUAAACCCUGGCAAUAAUUAGUUAAUAAGUCUGUGUUAGAUCUUACGUUUAUAUUCUACGAAACUGGUAUUUAAUCAAUAAGUCUGUAUUCUAUAAAACCGGUAAUUAGUUAAUAAAUCUAUGUUUUGAAUUUUACAAAGACGAUAAUAAAUUUAUAAGACUGUAUUCGGAAAUCAGUAAAUCUGCAGUUUGUAUUCUCUCGUAAUUCCUUCUGAAAUCCAAAAAUUAAUCAUCUUAAACUACGCUACAGAACGUAACGAAAAUAUAACUGAAUAUUUUCAAUAAUUCGACGAUAUACGAAUUUAACAUGAACUCACCUUAACUAUUUUAACUGUACAUU